AGCUUUGCGCAGUGGCAGUAUCGUAGCCAAUGAGGUUUAUCCGAGGCGCGAUUAUUGCUAAUUGAAAAAAUUUUCAUUUACUGUAAGUGUCAAAUUAUACUUAUUUACUUAUUUAUUCAUUGCAGUGCCAGGGAAUUAACCUCAAAUUAAGGCCUCAAAUCUGC
rnacentral:snRNA from 1 species